rnacentral:rRNA from 1 species
CCUACGGGGGGCUGCAGUGGGGAAUAUUGGACAAUGGGGGCAACCCUGAUCCAGCCAUGCCGCGUGUGUGAAGAAGGCCCUCGGGUUGUAAAGCACUUUCAGUGAGGAAGAACGCCUGGUGGUUAAUACCCAUCAGGAAAGACAUCACUCACAGAAGAAGCACCGGCUAACUCCGUGCCAGCAGCCGCGGUAAUACGGAGGGUGCGAGCGUUAAUCGGAAUUACUGGGCGUAAAGCGCGCGUAGGUGGCUUGAUAAGCCGGUUGUGAAAGCCCCGGGCUCAACCUGGGAACGGCAUCCGGAACUGUCAAGCUAGAGUGCAGGAGAGGAAGGUAGAAUUCCCGGUGGAGCGGUGAAAUGCGUAGAGAUCGGGAGGAAUACCAGUGGCGAAGGCGGCCUUCUGGACUGACACUGACACUGAGGUGCGAAAGCGUGGGUAGCAAACAGGAUUAGAUACCCUGGUAGUC